UCGGGCCACACCCACAAAAUAAGCCACACCCACUGAACCAGUAUUUAGAACCCACCCCUGGUUUGUUGAGAUUUGCCUCCAGGGACCUCGUAAUGGGAUCUUUCCUGGGAAGCAAAACACUUCCCAGCUGCAGAGACCAACAGAUAUCUUCAUGCAUGGAAGGAAGUGGGCUUUCAAUAGACCAGGAAGCAGCUUCAGAUCUGAAGAGGUGCUCUUGCUACAUGUGUUUCAGAUACCGAUUUGCUCCUGGAAGUUGAGAAGGUGGCAAGAGUGUUGCUUCCAUGGGCUCAAAAGAUCAGAGAAAUUCAAGCAGAGAUUGCUGACCUUCAUUACAAACUGAAUCAUGACUGGACGGCCUAUAACGGCCACCUUUAUUUACUUAAUUUUCAGUUUUUUGAUUUUUCUGGCACAAUAACUGAAUGCAAUAGAAUUAAAGGUUACAUAGCCGAUGUUGAAGAUGAAGCGGAGGAGAUCGGGGUCUCCCACCUUAGUACCUUUAAGAUUUGUGGACUUCAAUUUCCAGAGUUCCUCAGCCAGAAAAGCAGGCAGAUUAGUUGCUUACUGAGGAAAUGGAUUAGCUAGCAACUGAUUCUGCCUGCGUGCUGAAUCUGCUCCUUUCGGGCUGGGAAAGCCAUUGUUUAGAUCAGUAAUUAGAGGUUCUUAGAAGAAAUAACUCAAGAGAGACACAUUAAUUACUGGAUUGGAUUGCGUUAUCAUAACAGGACAUGGCGAUGGGUUUUAA